CCGCAGCCUCUCUGGGCAGCCUGUUCCAGCACCUCACCACUCUCAUAGUAAAGAACUUCCCCCUGAUAUCCAACCUAAAUACACAGCCACAGGUGUCUGCUUCUUCAACUUCUGCUGACAUUUGUGCUGGAUAGCUUUAAUCACAUAACCAGACAAAUUAAAAAGUGAACAUUAUUUUCUUUCCACAUAAUUCCUAAAUCAUCAGUCAAUCCAAAUUCAGGUGAAAUGUUGCACAGUGAGGCAAGUUCGAUCUCAGCUGGGUUUUCCAUAGUUGUAUCACAGAAGAAACCUGCCUUGAUUUUCUUGGAAAUGUAUGCAACCAAACCUAGGGAUGAGCAAUGAUCUGGUGACCCCUGUUUGUGCAGCCCAAGAACCUGCUCUACAAUGACUUCCAUGCGACGGUCAGUAACUCACAUAUCCUUUCUGAGAUCUCUUCUCCCCAGUUCAGACCUGCCACCAAGUUCAACAUUUUGUCCCUCUCAAAUAUGACAUACCUCUUAUAAAGGCUUACUGGUCACUAAAUCACAGAGUCCUUAUACGUGAAAGCAAGAGGUGAGGUUCUGAUUUGGCUUUUACUUUCUUGCAUACUCUCUGAAAUGUAACUAAUUAAUGAAGUGGAUCUAUUGUUACAUUGAGCAGUAUAAUUGUAUGGUUUUAUAAACAUCAGGUUAUCCUUUUGACAUCAGUAAAAUGUACGUGCACUUUUAGUAUGCACACCCUCUCCUCUCUUUUCCUGUCUCUUGUACUCGACCAUUAGUGACAGAAAACCCACAGCCCUCAAGCACUGUGGCCUCUGAAGCUCUCAGAGGGAUCUGUGCAGCCUCAUCACCUCAAUUGUGAGCACACUCCGUGGGGCUGGGUUCAGUUCAGCCUGGCACAAAGAAUUCUGCAAGCUCUCUCUCGUGAGACGAUCCCAUUUCUUGCUGCCAGCCAGGCUUCCCUCAGCCCCGUGUAACCGCUGCCUCCACUCCGCACGUGAUGUUUGCAAGGAACAGGUAGUUAAAUGGCAAAUAAAUCUGAUUUCUUUCAGACGAAAACACAAGUCGGGUACGUCGCUGCUUGUUUUUGCUUUGAUGGCCGCAUCUAUUAGGCAGUGAUUUCUGGCACUUCCUCCUUGCUGCUGUCACCCCUCACAAACCCCAUCGCUGGGGGUCUGGUGAAGUUGUGUGUCCCUGCAGCAGGAGCCACUCCUGCCCCGGCGCAGCAAACCGCAGCACAGCACUGCACAGCCUGCGCGUGGAUCCAGUUAAGUCUUGAAAGACUUUGUGGGUUAUGACAUUCCCCUAAAUGUGCUGAGCUUUCUUUAACCUUUCAUAAAACAUUGUGAUCUUUAUGGACUGUAUCAUAUUGUGCAGUAAUGUGCUUUAUUGUCCACAGAAUAAGCUUUUCUUAAAGAUAAUUGGAAAGCUGGAAAUGGCUGCUAUCGGAUGAUUUUUUUUUAAUACAUUAUUUCUGAAAUGGGCCUGGUGUAAUAAUGACCCUAUCUGUUCAAGAUUUAAGAUUUGUCUUGGCAGAGAAAAUUGAUCCAUUUCACCUUUGUCUAAUGGAAAUUUUUAUCUGGGAUUAUCUGUUUAUGUAAAUGAAUGUUCCUCUGAAAAGAGAACUUGAGGGGGCUGUAAAUCUCAGUGACACUUUAGUUUCAUGGGGGGAAAAUUGGAAAGGAUUCUAGUAUUUAUCUGCCUGAAAUUGGUUAUAAAAACAAAAUUAUCUUCAUGUACCUCCUGCAUCUGAUGUUUCCUGGAAUUUCAUUACCUUUUUGAGUCAUACGACGUUACACUAUAUGCAGUGUUCUCUGUGAUUAGUCCCAGAAUUGUUGGGGGGUUGCAUCCUAGCAUUAUAAUUAUCAGGAAGAGGCGGCCUGUUUGGGGCAGUGGGAUUCUGAUUCCGUGUCCUAAUGGGUACCAAUUAGCACAGCCGCAUUAUUCAUACAGCUCAGUGCUGAGCAUUGGAAAUACACCACAUGAUGAUUUUCCUUAAGUGUGUGUGGUUGUUUGUUUUGGUGGGCAAUUGUAUGUUUUUUUUAAUAAACCGAGGAAUGAAUCUAAUUACAGGGAAAAAGGUCUUUGGCUAAUCAGCUUGUGUUUGCUGUUUGCAGAGCAGGACUGUGAAUGUAGCAUUUACACGAAUAUUUUGUACAUCAUCUUUAAGAGCAGUUUCCCUGUUAAAGACACAGACAAGGUUUCCUGCCAAGUUUUCUCUUGAAACCCAGAUGACACAGAACCAAAUGGGCUGGAUCCUCUCUGUAGCAGCCAUGCCGAAGUGCACAAUUUUGGGUUGUGCUUGCUAGCAGUGAGCAUGGCUCUCUAACACAGCUGUUGCAAAUGCUCCCUCUUUUCCAGCACUCAGUGGGACUGACAAAGAACUGGGAGCGAGUCAAUUUUAAACAGUGCUACACAAUAAGAUGCAACUUUUCCAAUCAAGUUUUGAAGUUGAACAAGAUGAAAACCAAAAAAGCUUUCAGUGGUGUAAUGACAUGAUAGCGUCAAUUGCGUGCGCCUGGAGGGAGCAGAAGAGCACACACCGGACAUAAAUGCGCACUUAACUCAGGAAACUCAUAGACGUGAAGGUAUGAAGUAGUGCCGUGUACUUUGAAAUCUAAUAAAGAGGCCUAAUUUUUAGAUCUCACUGAGAGCUGCUGGCUGCACAGAACCCUUGCCAAUCAAAUCGACCUUUUUGCCUUGCUUCCCAAGUAAAGGUGGGAGCUGGCUUUGACAAUCAUCAUCCGAGUUUUUCCAGGUUGAUUUCAAUGGGAGUUUGGCUGAAGGCUUUGAAGAAGAGAAGGUUUCCCCUCUACUGUUGAAAAUUGUGGUUGCAGCUGAUACUGCAUUGAGGUACAAUAUGAUGAUUUCAACGGCAAAUAGUACUUAGAAGAAAUUAAAUCAUCAUUUAUCCACAGCUUUCACUCUCUGCUGCCCAGCAGAUCUCUCUUGAAUCUUGAGUGUCUUUGUGUUGGUUUAUUUUAUUUCCACAAAAGUUCAGGCAGGAAUUUUUCCUCCCCAAGUUCUUCAGUUUUGUGACUUUCUGCUCUGCAUUUCAGGCAGUCUGCUAGAAAUAUACAUUAUUACCAGCUCAUUAAAUCCAGAAUAAAUGAAGUGGAAAAUUACAGAACUCCAUGGAUUACAGUGCACCCAACUCAAAAUAGAAAUGUGUGAUUAAAAACAAAAUGGUUUGCAUUUUGAAAAUGCAGUAAUAGUUUUGGGCCCAGCUGGCAAAAUAUCGCGAGAUGUUUUUCAGGAUUGGAUCAAUGUAAAUGCAAUCUCACUGUGGGUACUCAAGGUGGCCCUCUCCAAGUGCAGGAUUCUUCUGGGACUGUACACUGAGAAAUGGUGAAGGGAAAGAUACAUUUGUAGUAGUGUGAUGUAAGAUAGUUGAAAACACUGGUCAGGCUGAUGAUUGGACUUGGUGAUCUUGAAGGUCUUUUCCAACCUAAAUAAUUCCAUGAUUCUACGAAUGACAUCAUCAUCCAGCAGUAAGACAUUCCUGGGCAAAACCCUCCAGUCUUGAGGACAGUUUGGCUGGCAGCACAACUGCUCAACGUUAAAUACUACCAUAGCGGUAAAUUAACUCCUUGGUUCAGAAGAAGCUGUGCAUAUGUGAGUAUAUGCAUAUGGAGAAAAGCCAUCUUUAAUCUCCUCUCUUUGAUUUGUCUCCGAUGUUUUUGAUAGAGUUUCACUACAGCUGAAGGAGAUCAGAACUGGUGAAUUGUUUUUCUGUAUCUUCUACAUCUCAAAAUUGAUAGUGAAGAAGAAAAUAAAUGGUUAAGAUUGGGGAAAUGUGAAAAGACAGGUAGAAAUUUUGCAGCAUAAAUGGAACUGGAGCUAGAUUUCCCCGUGGCAUUUACUCAGAUCAUUUGGGAUCUGUAAAGAAUCCCCAGAUUUGCAUAGAUCGUAUCAUUCCUCAUAAGGCACAGAAAAAGAGAACGUUUUACAAAGUGUGGAAUGAAGUAUAUUAAACUUUAACAUAAAAAUGAAGGUUAUUUAAUUAAAAAUUCAGAAGGAUUCUUUGUUCUUUUUGCUCCACAACAAACAUAUGUCAGACUUCAGCUGCUGUUGCGUUUCGUGUGUGAGUUGGAACUGGAGAUUUUUUUUUUUUUCCAGCACAGAAUAAACAGUAUUGCAGAUUUGGAACUGGGGCUUUCUUUACUUCAGCUGAAUUCAAUGUCUACCUGGCUGCUGCAGCAGGGCACAGUAAAACCGCAUCUCUGCCUCUUUUCUGCAACCUCGAAGAGCUGUUACGCACAAUGAAGAAAGGGAGGGAAAAAAAAAAAGUGGACCAUCUGUAGAUGCAGAUGGGGAUCUGUGGACGGUGUACAAGUUGCAGUCACUGAGUGAGCAGAGAUGCCCAAAAUAUGUCAUCCAAAUUGACCAAUCAGGCUGGUAAAGGGAACAUUAGCCUGUUUGGAUGCGCAGCCACGCAGGCCCACCCCAGCAACUGUGCGGCUCACGUGGGCGCUUAUGGACUUUUCUUCCCCACUGCUGCUCAGCAGCCGGAAAUCAGAGCCGCUUCUGCCCAUCAGCUCCAACAUCCAAAGACCAGCAAGCCUUGUUUGUGUUUUGUGGACUGUGUUGUAAGAAAUCUCUCUCUCUUAUUUUUUUCCUUUUUAUUUCUUUAUUUCCCUUUUAUGGUACAAUGCAAGAACUUUUACAGUGAUUGUAUGCUCUGAGGCGUAGCUUGAUUAUGACGUGCUAUGAUGCUACAGUUAGUGAAUAAAUAGUUUGGUCUACCUAUGAAAGGAUGGUGUUGUUUGGUCAAGUAACAACCGGGUCUUCUUCAGUGACUUAGAUUUCGUUUCCGUUCUGAAAGAGAACAAAGCCCCAACAAGACUGCACUCUUGGGACCUUUUAAAACCUGAGCCAUAGCAUGGGAACUUCCCACAAGACACAGACCUAGGCUGGAAGGAAGAUGCACAUCCAUACCUCUGAACAUCUUCGGUAAUGAUGUGGGGUGUGAGACUCAGACACCCAUGGCUGCUGUUGAAACUCCACUUGGAUUUUCAGAUCUCAGGAAUGGAUACAGAAAUCUGGUGCAUGCUACUGGCUGGCUGCCUUCAUUCAGAGCACAAGUGGCUGUACUUGCCUAGGAACAAAAUGCUGCAAAAUGGUGAAUGAGCAUGUGAUGAAGGAAAGAAACAGCUUUAUCACACCCCAAAGUUGGCUUGCUGGCGAAUUCAUGGAAGUAACAAGGACAGAACCAGAUUGCCACUCCCUUGGCAGCUUCCUGGCCACAGAGGUGAACCUUCUAGGGAAUGUCUUUCCAGUAGCUCUUACCUGUGCCUGAGGCUCCAGCUGGGACACCCUGUACACUUCUGCCCUUGUUCUCUCCUGAAUCUUCUGUGCUUGUUCCUGCUCAGGCUACACUGCACUGCAAAUGUGAGUCAGUGAAGGUAUUUGACCUUUUGGUAAUUUAUGCUUAGUUCACUCCUGCUGUCUAAAUACCUCUACAGGAAAAGACAUCUCCCUGUGUGAAAGACAAGUAGAUUUCUGUGCAUGCACUCUAGCUGCUUCUGAUCCUUUGGCAGCCUACAAUGGCCAGAAAAUGUAAAAUUUGUGAUCAAAGGCUUUGAUCUGCAACGCCUCCUGAGUAAGUCAUCAUUGCUUGAAGGUUGAAAUAACUGCCAAGAAUGGAGCAGACUGUGGACACUUACCCUGUAAAGUCUGCUUUCUAUUGCACAAUUGAAAGAGAACCCAGGGAGGUUCAGUGAACAAAUCUCUGCGGCAGGCCCUACAAUUGAACUUUGUCUCUCCUUCCUACAAUGAGUCAAAACACAGGUGUCUGCUUCUCCAAAAUGACCUGAAAUGGAGUGUGAUUUAAUCACCUCCAUUUGGGGCUGUAUGAAGUGUGCUUUAUUAGUUAAUCUUACUAAAUAAUUAUACAGACCUGUUCAACCUGGUAGAGUUAAUGAGAGGUUGUUGGCUGUCUUUGUUUGACAGUGGUUUUCAUUGCUCAGUGUCCUCGUGGAAGGCUGGUCUUUUCUCUCCCCUUUUCUUGGGUAGCAGGGAAGCACUGAUAACUCAGGAUGAUGUUGUCUGAAAUAGUGAUACAGAGCAAAAGGGGAGAGGGAACAUUUUUCUUUUCCUGUUUUAAGCCAUUCUUUUGUGUGGACAAAGGAGCAAGUUUGCUUAAACCAUAAGAAAUACAGAUUUUGUGGAUUUCAGCAAUACUGCCAUUCUUUCAAAAAAUCACAUUGUAUCCCAGCUCAUUUAAGCUGUUGAAUGGUUAUGUCAAGCCAAAAGGUGGAUGAGAGAGAAAAGGCCCAAACUCUUUCAGCUUGAUCCGUGCAAUCGAUAAAGCUCACUAAGGUAAUUACUCUCUGAUUUAAAACCUGUUCUUCUAUUUGCAAUGUUAUUUGCCUGCACUGACCAAAACGCUGCAGAGAACAAAGAAGUUAUAACUCACGUAAAAAAUAGUUUCUCCAGGAAGUUGUUUUCAUCCCUCUCUCUUCUGAUUGCCCCCUUUCCCUUUCUUCUUCUUCUUUUGGGAGGAGAAUAGUUUUGUUUUUCUUAUGAGCAAGGCUUAAUUUUGCUUUUUGGAGGCAUCUUCUUAGGAAAAGCAACUGGGGCCGUGCACAGCUGGCUUUUGAAAAUUGAGUUUCCACUGAAACUUCCCUGCUAUUAUCUUGACAAUCUUAUUAUUAUCAAAGCAUGCAAAUAUUAGGUGUGACAAUGAAUGCUCACGGCAGGGAAGAACGUAACUUGGUCAUCAGAGGAAGGGGGCCACUAACAAUUGUGCCCCCUGUCACAAAAGCCAUAAUAAUUUAAUAUUCUCAUACUGGGAGUCUCCAUUUUGUUGGGCCUGCAUAGAGCUGCUGAGUGCGUUGUUUCCUUUUGGCCAAAUCACCAGGGCCGUUCCUUGAACAUCUUGCAAGACUUCAAAUAGAGGAUCAUGCUGAUAAUGACUUGAGGGCAGGAUUUUUUAAUUUUUUAUUUUUUUUCCCUACGCCUAGGAAUAAAUGAUUUAACUAUUAAACUGAGUCAGGCUUCUAGCUUCUGAAUGUAAUUUAUUUCAAGGUUGUGUUAAACUUGUUAGUAGAUCAAUCGUUUUUCUUCUUCUGCCAGCCUGCUUAGCAAAAAAUAGGGAAGACAAAUCAGCUAAAUGUCAUCGCCUCAGUAUAUUUGAAGUGUCACAUAUUGUAAUAAUUAACUACCAGCUGCAUUAUCUGGGUAUGGGUUUUAUUUUUUAGGAUUGUGUUUAUUCUGAGCACCUAAAAUUUCUCAAUAUAUAACAGGAGGUGUUGAAUGUCAUAUUUUAAAGACAAAUUACUUCACAAAUUGGACAACUGUGUGAUUUUAAUGGCUGUUCUCGCUGCUUUGCACAGAUUUGCUAGCUCACACAGAAGUCAGACAUUGGUUGUCCCAAGCCUUCCUGGAAGAUGCCUUUCAAAACCGAUUUUGUUCCAUAUCCGCUUUGAGCUGUGUAGAAGAAAAGCUAUACAGAGAGAGAGCUGAGCCUGGCAGAGCUGGCUGCUUAAGACGGAUCCUUUGCAGCACAGGAAUAAAUGAUUCUGUCACUCCCAGGAAACAGAGCCCUGGGUCCAAACUGUCGUCUUCAAAAAGACUUGGAUUUAUCUGUUUAUAGCAUGAGAGAACUCAGAAGCAACUGAAGGAGCAGGGGCAAUACCAGAAAUAUCACAGACAAUAGCUGCUGGUAUGUGGUCACUUAAAAGCUGUUAGGAGGCAUUCUCUCUUUCUGUUCCUCACCUCUGCUUGUGUGUCUGUAUCCUUGUACACUGAGUGUGUAAAAUCCAGCAAUCGUACACCUGAAAAAUGUUAAAAAUUGGUUGAGGAAAGUUUUCCAAUAAAUAUAGUGUUGCACUUUUAAACACAUGCUGGAGAUUCCCAUGACCACAGGGGUCCUGCCUCUUGUUUAACAGCCUGGUGGUCUGAAACAUCAAGGUCAGAGUGCAGCUAUUGGUCUGCGUGCCUAUUGUCUGCGCUUCCAACUUAGGCUGGUGAAAAGGAUAAUCGUGUCUGAGCCAACCUCUGCUUCCAAACCCACACCAUUGGAAGCCUGUUCAUGAAUUAUUACGGAGAGAUGCUUAUGCUGGGUGGCCAUUUAGAGACAAGGAGGAGGCGUCUUUCUGCAAAGUGGGUACUGGGAGCAAAGUUUGGGUUAAGUUAGCUGAGGCAUCAGGGUUAACACCCUUGAUCUUCCUUUGUUGAAUGUGGUGGGAUUUUUGGCACACACAAAGACAGGGUGGCAAUUCCUGCAUUUCAGUGGGGCUUACCAGAGCCCUGGCGGCAGACGCAAGCCUGUAUGUACACAAGGUCACCACUCAUUUUUAGCACAAAACUGGGAGCUCAUCUCAUGCUGCAGGUAUAUAUCACACAGACCUCAGUGAGCACAGGCAUGCAGGACACAGGGGGACCGAGAGCAUAUGGAGAGAGAUUUGUCUUUUGAUACGCCUGCUGUCCUGGAGACUAGGAAAGCAUUUUUCUUCUUGUGAGCUGCUCCAUUUCUCCCUCCCUGUCUUCCUUUGGAAGUCAGUGAAGCUACAGUUGGGUACAGCUGGGAAAGGAACAGAAGAACAUGACUUGUUGCUGCUGAAUAAAGGGAUGCUUGUAAAAAUUCAAAAGCAACAGAUUGCUUAGAGGAAGAGAGUCCACGCCCUUUAUACCACUAACCUCCAGCUCCUUUCAGUCUGUAAUAGGGCUUCUGACAGGAAGUUGUUUUUUAGCUAUAGACACUCAGUGUAGCUUCAGGAAAGUUGCUGUAUCUGACUUUAGUAUCUCAAUAUCAUCCAGUUCUGCAGUCAAUUGUAGUUUCUUAAUCUGGGUUUGAGCUGUUCACAACUCUCUGGUGUUAAGGAAUGCUGCCUGCUGGGGACAGAUUUCCAGUGCAUGCCAUCACGCGUGCCUUCUACAGCCUGUUGUUUCUGGAUGCUAUGGUUGUCAGUACAGUGGGUUGAAAGGACCUUUGCUUGCCAGUUCUCAGAUCCUUACAGCAUGGAUAAUCAGGUUACAUUUAAAUUAAACUUCCUAUGGAAAUUCACAAAGUUCCCUCAAAAAUGCCCUGUAAUUUGGGAGUCAGCUGCAUUCCCAUUUCUGCCUUUGCAGAUCCGUGUUCUGUGAAUGCAUGCAAGCUGCGAGAAGGGUGUAGUCUUGGAUAUUCUCUGAGCCUUUAUUCUUUAUCAGUGCUUUAUCUGGGCCAAUGUUGGAAAUCACCUAUGGGAACAGAAAGUCCUUAGAGAAUGCUUGUCACAACAGACAUCAAACUACUACUGGAAAAAGUCCUUGUAGACGGAUGUGGGUCAUCAUAGGAUGUCUUCACUUUGUACUCUGAGUUCUUAGCAUUUUGGUUUUGUUGCUGUCGAUGAUUUUUUUUAACCUUAAGUAUAUAGGCAUCUCCACGAGCAACCGGUGUCUUGGGAAGGCUUUAAAAGGCCAGCCUCUGCAAACAGCUGCUGUGAUGUCUUAAUUAAAACCAACUUCAUACAUAUGCCUCUCCACUCCCAAGAGGGUUAUACCGGCUCCUCACACCAGUGUGGAGUGAUCUUUUGGCUUGCUUUCAUUGCUUGGCCAACGUCACAUGGCCCAAGUUCUGUGGAACUCCUGGAAAGAGAAUGCUGGGCCAAGUCCUGUCUGUAAUUCAGUUUGUGCUGGGUUUGCCAUCACUAAAGUGGGCUAGGGAGAAUGACACCAUGAAAAAACUCUACCUAGGAAAAGAGAAAAGUGAUAACAGAAGGCUGCAGAACUCCUCAGGAGCUUGGGGAGUCAAUGGCAGGCACAAUGCAAGUCAGGUAAAAGUGUGGGCCAGAGUACCAGCGGCUGGAUCCUGUAACAGCAUGAAAAUGGUGAUUGUUGAACUCAGUGCAGCCCUAUGGUGAAUGGCAAGAGGGGCCAAACGUGGCACACUGGAGAACAGCAAGCCUGAAAAAUGUAUGAUAUUGUCACAUACCAUAGUGAUAAACUUGCUGUGUGCAACAAUGGAGAGCAGUGGCGGAGAACUAAGAAAGGCACCCUGGACUUAGAUCCAGCUGACUAAUUCUAAGCUGAAAGUCUGUCUGUCCUAGCCGUUGAACUGUUGACAUCGAAGGAGAUGAGAAUUGCAGCUUGUGUGACAUAAGUGCCUAACUUUGUGAAAAUCUUUCAGAAGUUCGUGAAUAUUGUUGUGAUCUGGAGUGCACGCUCCAGAUCACAACCACAAGUGAACGAAUACAUGUAAAAUGCUUCUCAAUCUGCAGACAGAGCCUGCUUCGUAAAUCAUGGGAGCUGUUUCAAAAUCCUAAGCAGAUGCCUACUACACUGCUGGUAAGCUGGGGGUUAACCGAAACGUCACCUCCUGGUCCCUCUAAUUGGGCUUAUUUGCCAUGGUGUGGCUUCCAAUGCCAUUUUGGAAACUCAAGGAUGUGAAAAAGAUGGAGCGAAACCAAUGCAAAGUGGGCUUAAAGUGACUGCUCUACUAAAUGUCAACUGAACAACUAAAUAUAACCCCGAAAGUAGAAUUUAUGCUUUUCACUCCUUCGCUUUUUUAUUGUGGUGAGAAAAAAGCCAGGAACUCAACGGGCUGUAACUUUAAUAGGUCAUUCCAGCCAGUGCUUACCUUUACAAAAUCCUGAUAAUACAGAGAAGACAAUACAGUGAUCAAAAGCAGUGAUGAGAUUUUUUAGCAGCAUUAACCGUCAUGACCUAGCAAAAUGAAAGAAAAUGGUUUAACAGAACUGUCAGAUCCAAUAUAGCUAAUAAAGGCAUGGAUAAAUGUUUAUUACGUACCGGAGACAGAUCAUUUCUGUACAGAAAUUGAGGAUGACCUUUACUGAUAACUCUUAUCUGCCUGAUAUCCUGAAUAAGAAAAAGAGAGGGGGAGAGAGGCUGCACUAUUGCUGAUAUUUAUGAAAGGUGGAAAAAAAUUACCCUUUGCAGAUGAUUGUUUUUAGAGCUUUCAGGAAAAUAAAGAUAUGGAUAUUCAUUCUGCACGAGAGAUCCUGGGUUCUGACUGGGCUGUGUCAAAUGUAAUGAGUGCGUCCAACUAGGAGACUUUUCGGUAUACUUUAUUUUCAUGCAAUUGUGUGUAUUUAUGAGUAUCCAUGUUUGGGGAACUAAUGGUUGUGCUUACACUGACUUUUCUCUCUGUGUACGAUGUUCCCAAGCUACUUGAAUGAUCUUCAUGCCAGCGCUCACACACCUGAAAGGGGAUUUCCAAAAGAAGUCAACUUCCAAAAGCUCUCAGCAAGACUCGGUGGCCAGACUUGUGGAAGAAAACUGGAAAUUUAGGCCAUUUAUUUCAGACUGUAAAUGUGAUGCAAGCUUCUUGAGGAAAUCUGGCCCUUCUUUUCCAGGGUUCGAACAGUUGAGACCUGACUUUCUUUGUGCUCUCCGUAUAGAAUGAUGGAAUCAAUAAGGUUGGAAAAGACUGCUAAAAUCAUCUGGUGUAACUGUUGACCCCAUCGCCACCAUGUCCACCAACCAUGUCCUUUAGUGCCGUAUCUCCAUGGUUCUUGAGCACCUCCAGGGGCAGUGACUCCACCCCCUUCAUGGACAGCCUGUGCCAAUACCUCCCUACUCUUUCUGAGAAGGGAUGUUUCCUAAUAUCCAGUCUGAACCUUCCCUGGCGCAGUUUAAGGCCGUUUCCUCUCAUCCUAUACAUAUAAUGUAGCUGUAAGGGUUCACUUCUCUGCAAGCCAGAGCUGGGCAUGCAGCAAACGUCACAACCUACCUGUCAAAAACUGACUAAAAUGAGGUGUAAAGGUAAUCAGAAUCAGGCCUAUUACAUGCAGUUAAUCAUAAGUAACGCUGUCUCGGUAAUGGUUGCAAUUAGUUAUAAACUUCAAUGGUCUCAAACGUUUGCAUGUUGGCCAAUUAUGCUGUAGGAAUUAUCAAGUAACCCAUAGCACAUUAGCCUUUUGUAAUGCCAUUGUUUGGAGCUGCUCAGGUCACCAGAUCCUCGCCGGGAUGAAUUAGCAUAGCUCUCCAAGGUACAAUGGUGCGGCGCUGAUUUACAUCGGCUGAAAGCUGUCCCUUUGUCUGCUGGAGUUGUAGCGGGAGCAAGUUUAAAUCACAGCUUUGCAGUGGAGGCUCCUCCGACCCAGCCUCACCGAAACAAUGGACCGCAGUGGUGUAUUGUGACUGCUGUUUCCUGACAGCAUGUGAUAGUAACCUUGAUUCCUAAAAGGCAUUUCUGUGUUGUUAACGUGGUGGAUUCAUGGGCAGAAGCUUCCAGACCAGGCCCACAGAUGCUCUGCGUUAUUUUGAGCACUUGUAACACUCUUUGUGAUGAACCCCCAACUCUGUGUUUGUUUAUGACGGUGCUGAGUAGUUGCGUGGGUCUGCCUAGGAUGACUGCAGCUCUUGACCAGAGGAUUUUAUGGGGAUGGCAGGAGGAAACCUCCAGCACUACAGGAGAUAUUUAAUAAGUGGCAGAAAUGGAAAGUGGUAGUGAAGAAAAUGGUAUUUUUUUGUGACUACUGUCAUCUUGACUAAAUUACUGUCAUCUUUGGAAUGCUUCCUGAGAUCUUCAGCAACAGAUGAUGAAGUUCAGAUGGGGAGAUAAACACUGAACUCCUCCACAGGCACUGGAGACAAGCAUAGGAGAAACUGAUGUGAGCAAGCAAGGAUUGCUGAAUGGUGACAUGUGAUGUUGACAAAUUGCUGACAGUGAGCCUGCAUGCUGCUAUAUACAGACCUCUUCACAAUGCCCUCUGAUUUUUGCAAUCAGAUGAAGAACAAGAUGAAGGGUCUGCUUAAACUCCAUUUGUUUAAAAAGUAAAAAUCAAGCUGUACAAAAAGAAAAAACCUACAAUUUCCACAGUAGAUUUCCCCCAGAAUUCUGUAUUGAGUAUUUUUUUUUUCCACCCAAACUAUUCCUGCCCUGCUGGAUAGAGUUAGGAACUGCUCCUUAGCAGUGAAGGUCAUCUUUGUGUCUAGCUGCCAACCAGAAGGACUGAGGGAUGCAGCAGCUCAUGAGGCUGGUCUGUAUUUCUUACAUUGCCUGCUUGGAACUGAAUGUUGUUUUGCAGAGUGAGGCUUUCCUGGAUGCUGUUCCAACUGCUGUACUGAUGACAAACAGCAGUCUCUUUUUCUAACAGAUGUAAUGGUAAACACCACCAGGAAAACAGGCUCCUGAUGCUUAUUGUGGAGUAAUACAUGCUGAGCAGGGAUGCCUCAGUGACAGCCCUGUAUUUCUGUUUCAGGCUUUUUUUGUGGAAGAGGUACAUCAGUGAACCCAUUUAGUUGCACCCUGAUUUUUGUCUUACAAGAAGGCACAUCAUCAGAGAAGCUUAAAGUAAGAAGGCUUGCUCACUGUAAGACUCUGAAAACUGUCAUCUGGAUGGGAGUUUGCAGCUGCAGAUCCUGCCAGGGCUUAGAAGAGAGAAAUGCUUGCAUUCAAGUGGAAUGGAACCAUCCAUCCAGUAGAGAGCUGAUGCCUUAUUUGCUAGCAUAAUAAAUGCAAGAACAGGCCUUGCACUUUUCUUGAACUGGGAAAAAGGUUGGAUGUUCUUUAGAAUUCCCACAAUAAUGUGAGAGUCUUUUAAAACGUACAUCAGAGUUGAUGGAAACUUGUAGCUUAACUUCACCAGAAAUGCAGCUAUUAUCUUACCUGUUGAGUUUUAGUCACGUGAGUUGAAAGCAACUACUAUGAUGGUUGAAAGGAAAAUGCCGAGGCAGUGUAAGUGAUUAAUAAUGUGAAUCAUAGAACCAUAGAACUAUUUGAGUUGGAGAGGACUUUUAAACGUCAUCUAGUCCAACUCCCCUGCAAUGAACAUGGACAUUUAGAUCAGAGUGCUGAGAGCCUGGUCCAGCCCAACCUCAAAUCUGAAGGUAGCACUGAAGUGAAGUUUUCGUAAAUCGUGGCAAUAUAGGUACCGGAAACUAUUUGAGACAUGACUUGUUUGACUUGAAAGCAGGCUUUCUCUUUGAGACUGUGGGACAAGGAAGCUGGAUCAGGAAAAAUAUUGGUUUUCCUCAAUAAGAAUUUGCUUCAGCUUCCCAGGGUUUGGUCGCUGAGGAAGUGACCACACAGGACUUUGCAUCUUGGAAAGAGCUAAAGCAAGUUAGUGUACGCAAAGAGCUCCUCUGAGGCAGAGCUGCUAACAGUGUUGGCUAAACAAGUCAAAGUGUUCAAUACUUUCUGAGUAGCAAAGUCAGUUCUUGAAUUCUGCUUUGUUUUAAGUUUCCAGAACAUUGUACUUCAAGUUGAUGAGGAAAGCCCUUAUUUCCUUCGUGUUCAGAGAUUGUGACCAAGUAGAAAUCUCUUCUCAGGAGGUGUUUGUGAGCCGUGUGUAGAGGUAGGCUGACAAAAUGGAUAGCAGCUCAGCCUUAGGUGUGAAUGCAUCUUCUGGCUGUUUUGUUGCUUCUGUGGAGGAAGGCCAUGCACACAAGGUCCUCUCUCCCAUUCUGUCCUACACCUAAGCCUCUUGCUAACAACUCACCAGGUGUGACUGAGUGGCGGUUCUGACCUCAGAGCUGCAGUGUCAGCAGUUGCUAAGGAUCUCUCCACUAGCCUGCUCAGCAAAGCUUUGCUGUCAAUAUAGUUUUGCUCUUGCAUGCAGUGCAGGAGAUGUUCAUGUGCUAAAGGUAGGAUUGUGUUGCCCACUGCUAUGCCAAUUACUGGAUAUUAAUGGCAGGAUAGCAUGCAUAUGCCUAAACUGGGAAGCAGAAGGUUAAUAGACGAACAGCACCAGAAGAUCCCAUUUAUCAGUUUCUAUUUAUCUCUCCUUGGGAGGUGGCAGGUUUACAGUAAAUACCUUCUGUCCUCCUAAUUUCCUAAUGAUGGGGAUAAUGAUGGAGAAUGGUGAAGUCAUUAACUGGGACAGCCUCUGUGCAUCACUCUGUCAACCACAUCUCUCCAAGACCUGCAAUGAAAAGUGAUGGGCCCCAGCUGUUCACCAGAUUCUCCUCCCCUCCCCCUCUCCCCAUUCCCAACCCCAGUUGCAGGCGUAGCAGUUGGAAAAGGAAAAAAAUAAAAAAAAAAAAAACCACAAACCAAAAGACAAAGGGAUGGUUCCUCUCUUCUGCACUGGAAUGAUCCUGCUAUAGAGCUCAGUGCAGUGCUGUCCUUGGACAGAGCGGUGUUAUUUCAGUAGGGACCACAGCACUGCAGAACAGUGGUUUUAUUAAAAAGAACAGAAUGCAAAAGCAGGUUGCACUGUUUGGAGUGAGACACUGGUUUCCAUUGUGCUGCCUUCUGCUGAAGGACCUGUUCAAUAUUUGUAAAAAUUCUUAGCACUUUUCUGAGUGAGAAGCAUUUUGCCGGAAUACUGAUGUGUUGCAGUGGCUACAAAAAUGGAUGGGCAAACAGCUCUUAAAGUUAUAGGUAUAUUGGGAAUAGAACUAAAGAGAGAAUAUAGUACCCAGACUUUCUAGAUCACAAGAGUGCAAUAGGAAGUGGUGAAGUUACCAUCCCUGGAGGUGUUAAAGAAACGCAGAGAUGUGGCACUGAGGGACAUGGCCAGUGGGCAUGGUGUUGGAUGGGCUGGGGUUGGACUUGGUGAUCUUAGAGGUCUUUUCCAACCUUUAUGAUUCUGUGUGGCUACAGUCACUUGUUGUGGCCUUGAGUGUCCUAUGACAGAACUCUGCAAGUACUUAACUGCCGUUUCCUCUGCAGAGGCUGAGGAUCCAACCUUCUGCCUGGAAAUCUUUUCUAAAGAGAGGCCUGUCUGCAGUGAGGUUUUCCUAUUGCAUCUGCCAUUUGUCAGGCUCAUAAAAGAACUCUUGAGCUGUGGGAGCUUUGUAUUAGAAGGGUUCAUUAACUUUCAAAUGUUUCAAUUGAGAAAUUUCAGAGCUCUCAGCAAUCGACCAAGGUGGCUGGCUCAGCCAAGAGUGUCCCUUGACAGUCAGGUACAGAUGUGAUUGCUAGUCAGAGAGCUGUAAGAAACAUAAUAGUGUCCCAGAAAGAGUCAUACUUGAGCUGGAGAGGCUUAAACCAAAUAGCACAGAGAGGCCGUAAAUAAUUUUUGUUAUUCUUUAAGGGACAGGAAGACAGAGGAGCCCUUAGCCGGUAGUAUGCCAGGAAUUCAGUCUAUGAGGUUGUAGUGCAGUUGGGUCCCAUUCUGGUGUGACUUAUCAUGUUCAUAAGCUGCCCUAGAAAACAUGACAGGGGAAAUGAAAACAUGGUUGUAGUGAGAGAAGGGACUCCACUGGCUAAUCCUAAGCAGAUGACAAACUGUUCCUAAGUGCCUGGUGCCAGCAAAGGUUGAGAUGGUACAGACAGGCUUUUUGUCUGAGUUAGGUCUCUGUUCCAGUGGUAUCUGAGCAGAGGUAUAGACUGAAAAUGAAGGGCAGUGAAACAGUUCUUUUGUCUGGGAGAUGUGAUAUUAUCCAGUUAAUGCAUUAGAAAAUGUCUGAGUAAACUUCACCUAAAUAUUUUUUUCUGUUUUAUCUUCACGUGCUAGAUGCUACUCUAGGUAAUUUUCAUACAAAUGAGAUGAAGCUUCGGAUUUCAGUCCUGCCGUGUUACCUUGGUUCCCAUAAGAUCUCCUGAAGCCCUUAGCUGAAAAUGCAGUUGUUAAUGCCUUAGCUUCAUGUGGUCUGACUGUUCAGUGUCCAGCAAUGUAAGUGCAGCAGUCCUGGGCAAGGUUCAGCAGCAUCAGCUGUUUCUGUGGCCAGCCUCUCAGCUUUGACACCUCAAGCAUGACAUAAAUCAGGCUAAACAGAACAUGCAAUAUUAAACAUCUGUUGACUUCUAAAUAAGGAAAAUCAUAUUAGUCACUCUGUAAGCAAUCUGCAUGAUAAUUUCAGGAAAGCAUGAGGUGACUGCUCUCUCAGAGGAAGAAAUAGCUGAUAGAUCUUUUCUAUAUAUGUGAACUAGCUGUAAGAAAGACUGAAGAUCUGACCAGAAGUCUUCCUUCUGUGAGGUGCCUUUGUUGGAGAAAAAAAAAGACGAGUCAAAUUGUCUGCCACUGUGGAAAUUCAUUUCAGAUGUGUACAGGGCAGUAUCUACAGCACCAAGUCUUGGACAGAAUGGAAUCUGUUGCAGAUAUUGCUUGUCAACUGAAAGGAAUCUCACUGGAGCAUUGUAAUCUCUCCAAAAUAAUUUUUUCAAUUAUGUUUAACAUACAGGAGUAGAUGACUUAAAAAACCAUCCUAGCUGACAGCCCAAAGGCAACCAAAUGUUACAGUCAAGUCCAUUUUUAAAGGUGCAGAGUGUCCAUAUUAACCCUUCAUCUAUAGAUGGUUGAAAGAAAACAAAAUACACAAAUCGUGCACCUUUUAGAGAUCUCAGCACUUAAACCUGGAGAUGUGGCUGCAGUGUAGAAACGAAGAAACAUGCAGUGUCAAGAUGAGGAAAAUAAAGGUUUGGACCAAGUUUAUGUAGAGACACAAUCAUUCAAAUGUGUGUCCAAGUUCAGUUCUAACAGCAUUUUUACCUUCCAGAACAACACUGAUGCUUUAGCAGCAGCCUCUUGACAAUCCACUUCUGUCAACUGAAGAACAGCGUUUGGAGUAGGAUGACUACAGAUGCUUUACCUCAGGUUUGUUAAUGUCACGUCAGCGUCCCCAAACGUAUACCAGAGAAAAACUGACCUUGUUGAUGUAAUCAUUACGUUGUUAAUGGAAGUAUUAAAAACAAGUGCAUUCAGUGCGUUUGAUUCCAGGUAUGCUGGCUGGAAGGAUUAUUCCCCUGGCAUGCUUAAGAUGCUACUACUGCGAAUUUAAGAUCAUGGCUAUUUUAAAAAGAGGCAGCCAGGUAUCCUGUAUAUACUACUAAUUGUCUUUGCUCAAAAGGAGUGCAAAAUGAUCCAUCUGUCGUGACAUUAGGAUGUGUAGAGGGAAUUCUGAGAGCAAUAAAGAAUACUAAGCAUCUAAUCCUUCUCUUUUCAGAAAAGCACUUUUGUGAUUUCUUCUAAUGCAAAAAUACCAGCUUGCCUGCUGAUCUUGGAAAACUCACAGUAUGAGCUCUUCUCCCACUGCCCUUUAUACUAGCUCCAAAAUAUCCUUAACAUUAGUUAUAUGGUAAUGUGGUAAUGAUUUCAGCAUUCACCAAGCAUUUUGUUUGGUCUUUCUACAAUCACAGUGAUAUUUUCAUUACUCUCAGUUUAUCCUUUCUCUUUUUUUCCUUGCUCCCACUUGCACUGGAAACCUAUGUGGUUCUAUCCUGUUAACAUUUUCUUCCCCUUCCCCUUUCCCUUUUCCUUUCUUUUUCUCAGAUAAACCACUUUGAAGCCAUGAGUUGUGGCCACAGCCCUCCGUAGACUCUACAUAGAGUUUUCCAGGGGUCAAGUGCUGUAAAAAGUCAUCAACACCAUGAUGCAGAGUUAUGACUGCCUAUUCGGGGUUUCCUCUUAUUCCCAUAAUGGAACGCAUCUCCACAUAUUCAAUCAGCCACGGUUAUUCUGCCUGGCUACACAGACUGAAGCUAAGAUGCACACUGAACAUUUCUGUCACUUUUGCUGUUCUGGCCACUAUGCUUAUUCAAAGAGCUGGAAGGAAAACUCUCAUUAGAGAAAAAUUCAUUUAGCCUUAUGAAAGCCUGCACUGGGCUAAUAGAAGCUUUAGAAAGCUCUCCCUUCUGGUUAGGAUUGUCCUGAUCAAGGCCUGAGGCAGAAUGAAGAGACAGCUUCAUUGUCUGAGUAAACAUUAGGGCUAUAGAUGAACAGGAUUUUGUUCAUAAGGCUAUUGCUCAGAAACUGGAGAAUAAGCCAGUGAGCUGCUGGUAGCAUAGACUGCAGCCCAAGAGAUUGUUGCAAACUUCAAGGUGAAAAUAAGAAUCUGUUUGUGGUUACUGCUCAAGCAAAGGAGACAUCCUCAUGUUGAGGAUCCAGGUGAUGGUAGGUUUCUAUUACAUAGGCUAGGAAAAAAAAAACAAUGCAAAAUGUAAGAUAAGCUAACUUUGGUGGUGGUGGUGGUGGCUGUGUGUAGAUAGGGGUGAGUUGUGCAUGCUUCUGGGCAGCGUAAGUGUGUAAAGGAGAUGAACUGAGGGCACUGUGUGCAUUUGGGUAGUUCCAGUGCAUGUUGCUAUGCUGGGCUGAAAGAGUAUGGCAGUAGACAUCUACUGGGAGUUGAAAAGCAUCAUUCAUGGUGCACAGAUGCUGAGGGUUGCUGCAAGUGGAGUGGUGUCCAAAAGUGGGAGCAGCAUCUUUGUGGUCAUGUGUCAGGAUCCUUCUUUUCCUGGACGGAAGAAUGCCAGCUGUAAAGCACCUAGAACUUAAGAAGUUUCCAGGAGAAAGGAUGCAAUGAAUGUAGACCUCUAGGUGAGUAAAGUGAAAAUGGAAUCCAGGUCCAAACUGAGAUGGAGUGAAUGAAACACGGAGAAUCACUGAAAUGUACUUCAAAUUCCUUCCAAAUUACCCUGUAGCACUUCUGGUUGACAAGGCUUUGUCAGGCCUGUCUCGGUAGGUCUGUCCCGUCAGGAAUCAGGGCAGAGAUGAAGGGACAGAUGGAGGAAAGGAGACAGAGUAUAUGAUCUUGCUCAAGGGACACGUUAAAUUUAAGUUGGUUUUUUUUUUUUUUU